rnacentral:lncRNA from 1 species
UUUCUGCGCCUGGGGCGGCGGGCACGGGCCCUGACUUUCUUCUUCCUUCGCCGCCGCCGCCGCCGCCGCCGCCGCCGCCGCUGCCAGCAGAGGUGGCGGAGCUCCCCUUUCCUCCGCUCCCCCCCCUCCACGAGGAGGCUCCUGGUGUGCGCGGCCGGCCCGGCUCGCUCCUCCCCUUCCCUCUCCGAGCCUCGUCAGGAGGAGGGAGGGCGACGGCACUCGCUGGUUGGGCCCUAACCUCCACAACCCCUCCUUCUCGCCUCGCUCUCUCGGCCUUUCCCCUCGGCCCCGACGCACGGCCGGGGGCGCGCACGCACGUCACGCUCCGCGACCGCCGAAGAUGCAGAUGUAGAUGGUCUACAGUCUUCAACGAAUUCAUUGUUCUCUGGAUUCCGUUGGGGCUCAGCCCAUGGCAAACCCAGAAGGAAACCAAAGGGAGGAAGGGAAGCAGGGAGAAAUUGUGUUGCUGCUACAAGAGGAUGGCAGAGAGCUGUGUGAAGAGCACAGAGGAUUUGCUGGAUGCCUCCUACUACUACUCAAUUGUCCAAUCAUUCUUGUCAAUGGGGAGUGGUAGCCACAGAAUAAAAUAAGACCACUAAGGAUGCAAAUCCCAUAAGAAUAAAGGUUUGAGUCCCUCCUACCAGGAAAAGAACUCCAUCCAGCUGAGAUGCUCCCAGAGGAUAAGAGAAACACGAAGUGAAUGUGGAAGAAAACAGAUAUGAUCACCACCUACUUAGACCUCAUGUGCAGUCACAGAAGCAGAGAGGGUAAUAGGUACAGAGAAAGCAUGAGCAGGAGGGGCAGAGGGAGAGAGGGUCUCCUUCAGCGCGGAGUCCCACACAGGCCUGGAUCUCAUGACCCUGAGAUGAGGACCUGAGCUGAAACCAAGAGGCCGGCACUUAACCAACCGGGCCCCCCAGCCCCGCCCCCUACUUUCAGAGGUUUUAAUGCAGCAGCAAAUACAGAGCUGGCCCCGGGGAGUCUGAAUGUGAGCAGCAGCCAGGAGACGCUGAUGCAGGUGGUCCCAGGACGAAUGUCAGUACUGCCGGCAACAUCUCCAGGCACAAGGACCAGGACCUGGCCCCUCACUCACAGGACGCCCGGGAAGAUGUUAGGGCCCCAAAGGAGCCAGCCUGUGAGGACCUGGGAUCUGAAGCAUGGAGUCAGGUGAGCCCAGAGAGGGAACGCGGAGGAGGUGGUGGGGGGGGUGCUCCAGAGAGCCGCGGGGAGCCUGCGAGGCUGCUCCCAGCCGCGCCCCCUGCCCUCUGGGACCCACCACCGGCUCCAGAAGGAGGUGGCUUUCCUACGAAAUGAGCAACACCCAAGACGCGGGGUUCCUCGGAGUGAUCUCAGGGCUUGUGCGCCGGGCUGGCUUGUGGCCCGUGUGGCCAUCGUGGAGCCUCGUGACCGCUUCUUGGGAGGAUCCUAGAGUUAGGAUCCUAGGGUUAGGAUCCCAGGGUUAGAACCCCAGGGUCAGGAUCGUAGGGUUAGAACCCCAAGGUCAGGAUCCCAGGGUAGGAUCCCAAGGUCUGGAUCUCAGGGUUAGGAUUCCAAGGUUGGGAUCCCAGGGUUAAGAUCCUAGGGUUAGGAUCCCAGGGUUAGAACCCCAAGGUUAGGAUCCCAGGGUUAGAAACCCAGGGUUAGAACCUCAGGGUUAGGAUCCUAGGGUUAGAACCCCAAGGUUAGAACCCCAGGGUUAGGAUCACAGGGUUGGGAUCCUAGGGUUAGGAUCCCAGGGUUAGAACCCCAAAGUUAGGAUCCCAGGGUUAGGAUCCCAAGGUUGGGAUCCCAGGGUUAAGAUCCUAGGGUUAGGAUCCCAGGGUUAGAACCCCAAGGUUAGGAUCCCAGGGUUAGAAACCCAGGGUUAGAACCUCAGGGUUAGGAUCCCAGGGUUGGGAUCCUAGGGUUAGGAUCCCAGGGUUAGAACCCCAAGUUUAGAACCCCAGGGUUAGGAUCCCAGGGUUAGAAUCCUACGGUUAGGAUCCUAGGGUUAGGAUCCCAGGGUUAGAAUCCCAGGGUUAGGAUCCCAGGGUUAGAAUCCUAGGGUUAGGAUCCCAGGGUUAGGAUCCCAGGGUUAGCUGCACAAUGAGCGACCCAGAAACCCAGUGCCAGCGCUCCGCAGGCCGAAGCCGGAUUUGGGGUGCGGGAGGCUGAGACCGAGGCGCUGCCAGGCGCGAUGCCCUCCCCGGGGUGCGUCACCGGAGGGCGCCAGAGCAUCCUUCUCCGAAAGGAAUUUCCGUCCACGGAAACCCCGUUAGGCUUCGAUUCCAUCAACUACCUGCCCAAAGCCACCGUCUCCCCCGAAAUGAGACAGAAGAGGGCGGACAGGUGGCCGCGUAAGGAGUCUCCCGAGGGGCCGCGAAGUCGUCGACGUCAUCCGCUUUGUUAGACACGCACCUGCCUCCCCGCGCGCUCUCCCGGCCUCUACCAGCGCGCGGGAUGGAGGCUCCAGGGGACGCCGGCCUCCCGGCCCGGCUCCUGCAGCCCCUGCGGACGCCCCGGCCUCGGACAGCUUCUCCUCCAGUGUUCCCGGUUCGAACAGGGGAAACUGAGGCUCGAGGGGGCACCGGGACCUGCGCAGAGUCGCCCUACAGCUCAGUCUUGCGGCCCAGGGGAUACUUUCCUUUUAACCCAUGAGCUGACCCCGGAGUCCCCCCGUAGGAAGGGCUCUCGGUCCACUGAUGCAAGGGUAAGAGAGGGUCUGCGGCCCAGGAAACGGGGCUCAACGUGCAAAAAGCGAGCCUGAAAAAAAAAAAAAAAAAAAAGCGAGCCUGAUCUGGGAGGGGCGGGAGGGGGGCGGCUGGGAGCAGGAGACUCCGGCAACAUCCCCGUGUGGUGCUGCCAUCUUCUGUUCAGCUGGGAAAUUAAACCCAAACUGGCGUCAAGCCGGCUUUUCCAACAAAACGGAUUUUUGUAAAAGAACUGGCUACAUUUCUUCUGUGAUACUUUUCCCCUAAUGCAUUUGUUUGGUAUUUGCAAGCUGCAUGAUCAUCGCUAGAGAAAUACGAGAAGACAGGAAGAGGCCUGAGAAUUUGACAACCAUCCACUAAGAAGUUAAAUUAAAAACUUCAGUUUCAAACAAACAAACUCCAGUUUCUUCUAGACUCAGCUGGUUCACGUGUGAAAGGUCUGUGGCUCUGGCAUAUUUUAUAAUGGGCAUUUGCAGCAUGAUCGCUGACUCACGAAUUAAAAUG